AAAGAUCAUUUUUGGGGGUUAUUUUGCUUAAUUAAGAAUGAAUAAAUUUUGAACUUGGAAGGAAAUCCAACUACGCAAGUACAACCCAAUGCCAAAAUAAGCUCUCAAAGAGAAAGUGAAGAAGAAGAACAAAUAUUACAUGCUGUGGUUUCGGGUCGGGAGGAAUUACGAAUUUCGGCUUCGGCCAAAAACCUCCUGGUAUUUAAAA
rnacentral:sRNA from 1 species